rnacentral:rRNA from 1 species
GGAAUUUUGCGCAAUGGGGGCAACCCUGAUCCAGCCAUGCCGCGUGAGUGAAGAAGGCCUUAGGGUUGUAAAUCUCUUUCGGCGGGGAAGAUAAUGACGGUACCCGCAGAAGAAGCCCCGGCUAACUCCGUUCCAGCAGCCGCGGUAAUACGGAGGGGGCUAGCGUUGUUCGGAAUUACUGGGCGUAAAGGGCACGUAGGCUGGCUGUUAAGUCGGUGGUGAAAUCCCGAGGCUCAACCUCGGAAUUGCCUUCGAUACUGACGGUCUUGAGUGCGGGAGGGGUGAGUGGAAUUCCCAGUGUAGAGGUGAAAUUCGUAGAUAUUGGGAAGAACACCAGUGGCGAAGGCGGCUCACUGGCCCGCAACUGACGCUGAGGUGCGAAAGCGUGGGGAGCAAAC